UGCCAGCAGCCGCGGUAAUACGAAGGGGGCAAGCGUUGUUCGGAAUUACUGGGCGUAAAGGGCGUGUAGGCGGAUGCAUUAGUUGGGGGUGAAAGCCUUGGGCUCAACCUGAGAACUGCCUUCAAUACUAUGCAUCUAGAGUUCGUGAGAGGAUGGCGGAAUACCCAGUGUAGAGGUGAAAUUCGUAGAUAUUGGGUAGAACACCGGUGGCGAAGGCGGCCAUCUGGCACGAUACUGACGCUGAGGCGCGAAAGCGUGGGGAGCAAACAGGAUUAGAUA
rnacentral:rRNA from 1 species